GUGGCUGUAAUAGUUGGUUAAAAGCGUCUAGUAAAACAGGAGAUCCUGGGUUCAAAUCCCAGCAGUGCCU
rnacentral:tRNA from 1 species